GAUGAACGCUGGCGGCGUGCCUAAUACAUGCAAGUCGAACGAACAGACGAGGAACUUGCUCCUCUGACGGUAACAGCGGACGGGUGAGUAACGCGUGGAUAACCUACCUAUAAGACUGGGAUAACUUCGGGAAACCGGAGCUAAUACCACAUAAUGUAUUGAACCACAUGGUGCAAUAAUGAAAGACGGUUUUGCUGUAGCUUAUAGAUGGACCCGCGCGGCAUUAGCUAGUUGGGAAGGGAACGGCUUACCAAAAGAACGAUGCGUAGCCGACCUGAGAGGGGGAUCGGCCACAGUGGAAGUGACACACGGCACAGACUCAUAGGGGAGGCAGGAGGAGGGAAUCUUCCGAAAUGGGCGAAAGCUUGACGGAGCAACGGCGCGUGAGUGAUGAAGGUCUGCGGAUCGUAAAACUCUGUUAUGAGAGAAGAACAAAUGUGUAAGUAACUAUGCACGUCUGGACGGAACCUAAUAAGAAAGCCACGGUGACUUCCGU
rnacentral:rRNA from 1 species